UAUGGUUAGUUACUAACAUUAAGUUGAGGACUCUAGCCAGACUGCCCAGAUCAACUGGGAGGAAGGUGGGGAUGACGUCAGGUCAGUAUGGCCCUUACGCCUUGGGCUGCACACGUACUACAAUGCCCAGUACAAUGAGAACCGAUACCGCGAGGUGGAGGAAAUCUAUAAAGCUGGGCCCAGUUCGGAUUGGAGGCUGCAACUCGCCUCCAUGAAGUCGGAAUCGCUAGUGAAUGGCACAUCAGCUACGGUGCCGUGAAUACGUUCCCGGGUCUUGUACACA
rnacentral:rRNA from 1 species